UUACAUAAUCCAGUUUAUGGCUAUUUAUGACCUACGACCCUGGUUGUCUACACCAGAGACAAUAACCAGCUGUCCACUUGGAUUAGAGUAUUUGCAUCAGAUAAAUCAGUUAACAGUGUGUCAACAUUUUGAUCCUCUGGGAGUCCUCAGAAAAUUUGAAACUAGUAAAACGUAUGAAAUCUUGAACAAUCAAGGACAGAGAAUUUAUUUUGCAGAAGAGAGAAAUAAUUGCUUCCUUCGACACCUUUGUGGAUUUUCAAGCCCUUUUACUAUGACAAUUUAUGAUAAUGUAGGUAGAGAUGUACUUGCUCUGCAUAAGGCUCUGAAAUGUAGCUUACAAAAGUUAUUGACUCUGGAUGAGGAAAUGGUUAUUGGAAAGAUUUCAAAACAGUACUCUGGAUUUGUAAGGGGAAUAUUAACCAAUGGUGAGAAAUUUGGGAUCCAGUUUCCAUUUGAUCUUGAUGUUAAAAUUAAAGCAUUGAUGCUUGGAGCAACUUUCCUCAUUGAAUACAUGUAUUUUGAACUGUGGCCAUAAGAAUUACCCUGAAAGAAUAUGUCAGAGAUUACUGGCAUUUAUUUUUGCCAGCCCUCAACAAAACUAAGCAACUUUCACUGAAAAUAUCUAAAUAAAGUUUUAUUUUACUAAAACUAUUCAUAUAUAUUCUUUCUGCCUAAUAAACUACAUCAAAAAUGUUUAACUUCAAA
rnacentral:lncRNA from 1 species